CUUCUCACCUGGAGAUGGCUGUAGUGGGCAGGCUGUUUUGGCUCGGCUUCUACAGACCUAUGCAGCAGGUUUUGUAUUGGGUUCAACCUACAGGCCAAUAGAUGACAUUUGCAAGUGAAGAGCUGGAUAGUGGGGUUCCUGGUGUUCCGCGGAAGAGGCCGGACACAAUUGGGCUGGAGCCUCUGGCUUGCCCAUGUGUAUCCCAAUGGCAAGCACAGGCACCAGCCCUGAAAAGGGUGGCUGGGAGAUGCUCUUAGGGACAUGCCCCAGAGAUCUCCGUGUGGGGCAGAGUGAGGAGGCUUCACUGGCUCCCCCAUGAUGUCGUCUUUGGUACUUGGCAUUCUUCCCAGAGGAAGAUAAUGGGAAUCAGACAUGCUUCUGAUUGUCCCACCAGCCAGCUGCCGGUUUCAGCCCAAGCCAUUCUGAAUUGGAGGAUGAUGGUCUAGCUUUACUUCUCAAAUAGGCUACUCCUUCCCACAUGGUCAGGUCGCAGAUGAAAAAUCAGUCUCCUGGGAAAGCUCUCAGCCUGAUUGAGAAAGAAGACCUAUAAAGAAACAAUUACAAUACAGCACUCAAAAUGUCACAGGGGAAAAAGUUUCUAUAGAAAAUGGAAGACAAUGUCUAAAUUCAGCGGCCUAAACCUAGGUCAGUACGCACUCAGGACCUGGAAUGUGACUGAACAUGCAUGUCAAGGUGUCAAUUACUCCUCCUUAAGGAGCUAAACCUGCAGCAUGACUCAAUUUCCUUGAGAUGAAGGACAUUUAAAGAUGUCAUCAAACCUCAUCAGUGGGGGAUAUUUUAAGAACAACCACCAAUAUUAUUACCCUGGAGACACUUAAUUCUACCACCCUUCACUGGCCACCACAAAAAUAAACCAAAUAAUUAAAAAAUUUU